rnacentral:lncRNA from 1 species
AUGAGGUGGCGCAAGUUCACCAGGCCGCGCAGCUGGCCCUCGCCCAGCGAGGUCAGCCGGUUGCCGUCCAGGUGCAGGGCGCGCAGGGCGCGCAGGUCGGCGAAGGCGCCGGCCGCCACGUGGCGGAUGGUGUUUCGGGACAAGCUCAGGUGCAGCAGGCCCGUCAUGUUGGCCAGGUCGCGGCGGCGCACGGCCGCGAUGAAGUUGUCAGCCAGGCGCAGCUCAGCUGCCCGGCGGUCCAGCGAGGGUGGCACGAACAAGAGGCCGGCCCCCGGGCACAGCACGCUCAGGGGCAGUGACUGGGUCUGGCAGCGGCAGCGACGGGGACACGGGCUGGGCGUGGCCGGCUGGGGUGGAGACGAGGCGGGGGCCAGCGGCAGCAGGCAGAGGAGCAGCGGGAGGACGGCCAUCGCGGGCAGGGGCGGCCUGUGGGGAAGGUGGGGGCCGGGAGAGGGGCGUCAGGGCAGGUUGAGGCCAGUGGGGGGUCUCUGGGGGACCUGGGAGGGUGGGCUGAGACAGGAGAGAAGACGACAAACGAGGCUAAGGCAGAAGAGCUGGGCGGAGAGAGGAGUGGUCAGUGCCGGCGGAAGCCAGCGGAGACGGUCGGACUCCGGGCUGGGUCUGGAGGGACCCAGGGAACAGACGGAGGAUGGUCAGAGACCGGGAGUGCUGGGUACGGUGGGUGCAGGGCUUUGGACGUGGUCACGGGGAUGGGUAGUGUUGGCCGUAGAGGCAAGAGGUGGCCAGGGUGGUGGGAUGAUCGGAAGAGGUGAGACAAGACCAGGGGAGAGGUGGUUGGGUGGCCAGGAGAUGAGCGAGGGUCGGAGCUGGCAAGGUGCUCAGAGGGAGAAGGGAGGAAGCGUGUCGGCGACCAGGAUGGUGGGGCAGCAUAAGGCCCCUGAGGGGACAAGGCAUCUGAGGGAGCUAGGACAGCCCAAGGCAUUAGAAAUGAUCAGAGAGAAUUCAGGAACGGGCGGGAUAGGGGGUGGAGAGAGAGGGAGAGAGGGAGAGAGCGAGCGAGCGACAGCAGUAAAGGCCAGGGUGGCCAGGUGGUUAUAG